rnacentral:tRNA from 1 species
GCUAACGUAGCUUAAUUUUAAAGCAUAACGCUGAAGAUGUUAAGAUGAGCCCUAGAAAGCUCCGUAAGCA